GAUGAAGAACGUAGCGAAAUGCGAUAAGUAAUGUGAAUUGCAGAAUUCAGUGAAUCAUCGAAUCUUUGAACGCAUCUUGCGCUCCUUGGUAUUCCUUGGAGCAUGCCUGUUUGAGUAUCAUGAGCAAAUCUCAAAGUCAAUUCCUUUUGUUAAUUCAAUUGGUUUUGCUUUGGACUUGGAGGUCUUGCAGAUUUUCACAGUCUGCUCCUCUUAAAUGCAUUAGCUGGAUCUCAGUAAUUAUGCUUGGUUCCACUCGGCGUGAUAAGUAUCACUCGCUGAGGACACUGUUAAAAAGGUGGCCAGGAAAAUACUGAUUGAACCGCUUCUAACGGUCUAUUAAGUUAGACAAUAACCCUUAAGUUUGAUCUCAAAUCAGGUAGGACUACCCGCUGAACUUAAGCAUAUCAAUAAGCGGAGGA
rnacentral:misc_RNA from 1 species